rnacentral:rRNA from 1 species
UACAAAGGAUGCAAGCGUUAUCCGGAAUGAUUGGGCGUAAAGCGUCUGUAGGUGGCUUUUUAAGUCCGCCGUCAAAUCCCAGGGCUCAACUCUGGACAGGCGGUGGAAACUACCAAGCUGAAGUACGGUAGGGGCAGAGGGAAUUUCCGGUGGAGCGGUGAAAUGCGUAGAGAUCGGAAAGAACACCAACGGCGAAAGCACUCUGCUGGGCGAUACUGACACUGAGAGACGAAAGCUAGGGGAGCGAAUGGG